rnacentral:rRNA from 1 species
GAUGAACGCUGGCGGCGUGCUUAACACAUGCAAGUCGAACGAAGCAUACGAAUUGGAUUUCUUCGGAAAAAAGAAUCGUAUGACUGAGUGGCGGACGGGUGAGUAACGCGUGGGUAACCUACCUCAUACAGGGGGAUAACAGUUAGAAAUGACUGCUAAUACCGCAUAAGCGCACAGAACCACAUGGUUCAGUGUGAAAAACUCCGGUGGUAUGAGAUGGACCCGCGUCUGAUUAGCUAGUUGGUAAGGUAAUGGCUUACCAAGGCGACGAUCAGUAGCCGACCUGAGAGGGUGAUCGGCCACAUUGGGACUGAGACACGGCCCAAACUCCUACGGGAGGCAGCAGUGGGGAAUAUUGCACAAUGGGGGAAACCCUGAUGCAGCGACGCCGCGUGAAGGAAGACGUGUUUCGGCAUGUAAACUUCUAUCAGCAGGGAAGAAAAUGACGGUACCUGACUAAGAAGCCCCGGCUAACUACGUGCCAGCCGCCGCAGUAAAAC